rnacentral:tRNA from 1 species
GCGGGUGUGGUGAAAUUGGUAAACACAAGGGACUUAAACUCCCUCGGUCAUUGCGACCUUGCCGGUUCAAGUCCGGCCACCCGCACCA